rnacentral:misc_RNA from 1 species
UCCGGUUUGACACCGGCAGUCUCGUUAGAGUCCCCGACACCCGAAGGCUCGCUGGCAACUAACGACAGGGGUUUCGCUCGUUAAGCGACUUAACGCGACACUUCACAGCACGAGCUGACGACAGCCAUGCAGCACCUGUGCACGUUCCACCGUAAAGGCGUCGUUGCUGUUUCCAACAACUAAUCCGUGCAUGUCAAGCCUUGGAUAAGGUUCUUCGCGUUGCUUCGAAUUAAGCCACAUGCUCCACCGCUUGUGUGAGCCCCCGUCAAUUCCUUUGAGUUUUAGCCUUGCGACCGUACUCCCCAGGCGGCGCACUUAACACUUUUGCUUCGAUCCGGAUGGAGUCAAAUCCUCCCUGAUCUAGUGCGCAUCGUUUACGGCGUGGACUAC